AUUGAACGCUGGCGGCAUGCCUUACACAUGCAAGUCGAACGGUAACAGGUCUUCGGAUGCUGACGAGUGGCGAACGGGUGAGUAAUACAUCGGAACGUGCCCAGACGUGGGGGAUAACGAGGCGAAAGCUUUGCUAAUACCGCAUACGAUCUAAGGAUGAAAGCAGGGGACCGCAAGGCCUUGCGCGUUUGGAGCGGCCGAUGGCAGAUUAGGUAGUUGGUGGGAUAAAAGCUUACCAAGCCGACGAUCUGUAGCUGGUCUGAGAGGACGACCAGCCACACUGGGACUGAGACACGGCCCAGACUCCUACGGGAGGCAGCAGUGGGGAAUUUUGGACAAUGGGCGAAAGCCUGAUCCAGCAAUGCCGCGUGCAGGAUGAAGGCCUUCGGGUUGUAAACUGCUUUUGUACGGAACGAAAAGGCUCUGGCUAAUACCUGGGGCACAUGACGGUACCGUAAGAAUAAGCACCGGCUAACUCCGUG
rnacentral:rRNA from 1 species